rnacentral:rRNA from 1 species
GCCUACAGCCGUGCCACCCUGAACAAGCCCGAUCCCAUCUGAUCUCAAAAGCUAAGCAGAGUUGGGCCUGGUUAGUACUUGGAUGGGAGGCCACCUAGGAAGAUCAGGUGCUAUAGGCA